GGCGCCGUGGCUGAGUGGUUAUAGCGAUAGACUAGAAAUCUAUUUCCUUCGGGAGCACAGGUUCGAGUCCUGUCGGCGUCG
rnacentral:tRNA from 1 species